CUACGGGAGGCUGCAGUCGAGAAUCUUCCGCAAUGGACGAAAGUCUGACGGAGCGACGCCGCGUGCGGGAUGAAGGCCUUCGGGUUGUAAACCGCUGUCAGUGGGGAGGAAAUGCAUCAGGGUUCUCCCUGGUGUUUGACCGAUCCGCAGAGGAAGCGCAGGCUAAGUUCGUGCCAGCAGCCGCGGUAACACGAACUGCGCGAACGUUAUUCGGAAUCAUUGGGCUUAAAGAGUUCGUAGGCGGCCUUUCAAGUCGGGUGUGAAAUCCCUCGGCUCAACCGAGGAAUUGCGCCUGAUACUGUUGGGCUUGAGGGGGGUAGGGGUGAGCGGAACUGAUGGUGGAGCGGUGAAAUGCGUUGAUAUCAUCAGGAACACCGGUGGCGAAGGCGGCUCACUGGAUCUCUUCUGACGCUGAGGAACGAAAGCUAGGGGAGCGAACGGGAUUAGAUACCCGGGUAGUC
rnacentral:rRNA from 1 species